CUACGGGGUGCUCCAGUGAGGAAUAUUGCACAAUGGGGGGAACCCUGAUGCAGCAACGCCGCGUGGAGGAUGACGCAUUUCGGUGUGUAAACUCCUUUUAUAUGUCAAGAAAAUGACGGUAGCAUAUGAAUAAGCACCGGCUAACUCCGUGCCAGCAGCCGCGGUAAUACGGAGGGUGCAAGCGUUACUCGGAAAUCACUGGGCGUAAAGGACGAGUAGGCGGGUUGGAAAGUCAGGUGUGAAAUCCUACAGCUUAACUGUAGAACUGCACUUGAAACUUCUAAUCUAGAGUAUGGGAGGGGGAGAUGGAAUUAGUGGUGUAGGGGUAAAAUCCGUAGAUAUCACUAGGAAUACCUAAAGCGAAGGCGAUCUCCUGGAACAUUACUGACGCUAAGGCGUGAAAGCGUGGGGAGCAAACAGGAUUAGAUACCCCGGUAGUC
rnacentral:rRNA from 1 species